rfam:Myotis brandtii contig309987, whole genome shotgun sequence.
AGGCUUGGAGAGAAAAGCAGGGUCUGAUCCAUAGCCUCUGUGGUAGCUGUUGAUCAGCACUUGCCUCUCUCUUUCACUCCA